rnacentral:rRNA from 1 species
GAUGAACGCUGGCGGCGUGCCUAAUACAUGCAAGUCGAGCGAACAGACGAGGAGCUUGCUCCUUUGACGUUAGCGGCGGACGGGUGAGUAACACGUGGAUAACCUACCUAUAAGACUGGGAUAACUUCGGGAAACCGGAGCUAAUACCGGAUAAUAUAUUGAACCGCAUGGUUCAAUAGUGAAAGACGGUUUUGCUGUCACUUAUAGAUGGAUCCGCGCCGCAUUAGCUAGUUGGUAAGGUAACGGCUUACCAAGGCAACGAUGCGUAGCCGACCUGAGAGGGUGAUCGGCCACACUGGAACUGAGACACGGUCCAGACUCCUACGGGAGGCAGCAGUAGGGAAUCUUCCGCAAUGGGCGAAAGCCUGACGGAGCAACGCCGCGUGAGUGAUGAAGGUCUUCGGAUCAUAAAACUCUGUUAUUAGGGAAGAACAAAUGUGUAAGUAACUAUGCACGUCUUGACGGUACCUAAUCAGAAAGCCACGGCUAACUACGUG